rnacentral:rRNA from 1 species
UACGUAGGGUGCAAGCGUUGUCCGGAAUUAUUGGGCGUAAAGAGCUUGUAGGCGGUUUGUCGCGUCUGCUGUGAAAUUUCGGGGCUCAACCCCGAACUUGCAGUGGGUACGGGCAGACUAGAGUGUGGUAGGGGAGACUGGAAUUCCUGGUGUAGCGGUGAAAUGCGUAGAUAUCUGGAGGAAUACCGGUGGCGAAGGCGGCAUCCUGGACCGGCAUUGACGCUGAGGAGCGAAAGCUAGGGGAGCAAACGGG